rnacentral:lncRNA from 1 species
GAUCUUCCUCUUCGCUCUCUCCGCCGCCACCGUCUCCGCUCGCCCUUGCCGUACCUUCAUCAUCUCCUCCUACUCGUUCCGCAACCCUUCCUCCAACACCUUCGCCACCAUCACCGAGAUCCGAUCCAUCUCCCCUCUCUUCUCCAACGACAAACCCUACGGAAUCUUCUUGGAUCGCCCGAUCCAACACCAGAACCUUGACACCCAGUCUCACGCGUCCCAUCCACGCGGCCCUCUAGGGUUUUCUACCGACGCCGAUUUCUCUUCCCUCCGCGAUCGUACUAAGGAUAUCCUCAGCGUCGCACUUGC